UGCCAGCAGCCGCGGUAAUACGAAGGGGGCGAGCGUUAAUCGGAAUUACUGGGCGUAAAGCGCGCGUAGGUGGUCUGUUAAGUCGGAUGUGAAAGCCCCGGGCUCAACCUGGGAACUGCACUCGAUACUCCCGUGCUAGAGUAAUGGAGAGGUAAGUGGAAUUCCUGGUGUGGCAGUGAAAUGCGUGGAUAUCAGGAGGAACAUCAAUGGCGAAGGCAACUUACUGGACAUUUACUGACGCUCAGACACGAAGGCUAGGGUAGCGAAAGGGAUUAGAUA
rnacentral:rRNA from 1 species